rnacentral:rRNA from 1 species
UAGCCUACGGGGGGCAGCAGUGGGGGAUAUUGCACAAUGGGGGGAACCCUGAUGCAGCGACGCCGCGUGGGUGAAGAAGCGCCUCGGCGCGUAAAGCCCUGUCAGCAGGGAAGAAAAUGACGGUACCUGACUAAGAAGCCCCGGCUAACUACGUGCCAGCAGCCGCGGCAAUACGUAGGGGGCAAGCGUUAUCCGGAUUUACUGGGUGUAAAGGGAGCGUAGACGGCUGUGCAAGUCUGAAGUGAAAGCCCGUGGCUCAACCGCGGAACUGAUUUGGAAACUGUAUAGCUUGAGUA